rnacentral:rRNA from 1 species
CCUACGGGAGGCAGCAGUGAGGAAUAUUGGUCAAUGGGCGAGAGCCUGAACCAGCCAAGUCGCGUGAGGGAAGACGGUCCUAUGGAUUGUAAACCUCUUUUGCCGGGGAGCAAAACGCGGUACGCGUACCGCAUCGAGAGUACCCGGAGAAAAAGCAUCGGCUAACUCCGUGCCAGCAGCCGCGGUAAUACGGAGGAUGCGAGCGUUAUCCGGAUUUAUUGGGUUUAAAGGGUGCGCAGGCGGCGAGUUAAGUCAGCGGUAAAAUUUCGGGGCUCAACCCCGACAAGCCGUUGAAACUGGCGUGCUAGAGUGGGCGAGAAGUAGGCGGAAUGCGUGGUGUAGCGGUGAAAUGCAUAGAUAUCACGCAGAACUCCGAUUGCGAAGGCAGCAUACCGGCGCCCAACUGACGCUCAGGCACGAAAGCGUGGGUAUCGAACAGGAUUAGAUACCCUGGUAGUC